rnacentral:pre_miRNA from 1 species
AAAGUACUCCCUCCAUCCCAAUAUUCUUGUCUUAGAUUUGUCUAGAUACGGAUGUAUCAAGUCACAUUUUAGUAUUAGAUACAUCCGUAUCUAGACAAAUCUAAGACAAGAAAUUUGGGACAGAGGGAGUAGUUG